UCCAGACUCCUACGGGAGGCAGCAGUGGGGGAUAUUGCACAAUGGGGGGAACCCUGAUGCAGCGACGCCGCGUGGGUGAAGGAGCGUUUCGGCGCGUAAAGCCCUAUCGGCAGGGAAGAAGGAGGACGGUACCUGACUAAGAAGCCCCGGCUAACUACGUGCCAGCAGCCGCGGUAAUACGUGGGGGGCAAGCGUUAUCCGGAUUUACUGGGUGUAAAGGGGGCGCAGACGGCAGCGCAAGCCAGGAGUGAAAGCCCGGGGCCCAACCCCGGGACUGCUCUUGGAACUGCGCGGCUGGAGUGCAGGAGGGGCAGGCGGAAUUCCUGGUGUAGCGGUGAAAUGCGUAGAUAUCAGGAGGAACACCGGUGGCGAAGGCGGCCUGCUGGACUGCGACUGACGUUGAGGCCCGAAAGCGUGGGGAGCAAACAGGAUUAGAUACCCCAGUA
rnacentral:rRNA from 1 species